rnacentral:rRNA from 1 species
GUCCGCACUGUAAACGAUGAUUACUCGCUGCUGGGAGGUAACUUUCAGUGGCUUAGCGAAAGCGAUAAGUAAUCCACCUGGGGAGUACGCCGGCAACGGUGAAACUCAAAGGAAUUGACGGGGGCCCCGCACAAGCGGAGGAGCAUGUGGUUUAAUUCGAUGAUACGCGAGGAACCUUACCAGGGCUUGAAAGUUAGUGACCGACUCUGAAAGGAGUCUUUCAGCAAUGACACGAAACUAGGUGCUGCAUGGCUGUCGU